GGGGACGUAGCUCAGUUGGUAGAGCACUGCCUUUGCAAGGCAGGGGUCGCCGGUUCGAAUCCGGUCGUCUCCA
rnacentral:tRNA from 1 species